rnacentral:rRNA from 1 species
GUGGGGAAUUUUGGACAAUGGGCGCAAGCCUGAUCCAGCAAUGCCGCGUGUGUGAAGAAGGCCUUCGGGUUGUAAAGCACUUUUGGCAGGAAAGAAAUAGCGCGUGCUAAUACCAUGCGCGAAUGACGGUACCUGCAGAAUAAGCACCGGCUAACUACGUGCCAGCAGCCGCGGUAAGACGUAGGGUGCAAGCGUUAAUCGGAAUUACUGGGCGUAAAGCGUGCGCAGGCGGUUUUGUAAGACAGGUGUGAAAUCCCCGGGCUCAACCUGGGAACUGCACUUGUGACUGCAAGGCUAGAGUGUGUCAGAGGGAGGUGGAAUUCCGCGUGUAGCAGUGAAAUGCGUAGAGAUGCGGAGGAACACCGAUGGCGAAGGCAGCCUCCUGGGAUAACACUGACGCUCAGGCACGAAAGCGUGGGGAGCAAACAGGAUUAGAUACCCGUGUAGUCC